GACGAACGCUGGCGGCGUGCCUAAUACAUGCAAGUAGAACGCUGAAGGAGGAGCUUGCUUCUCUGGAUGAGUUGCGAACGGGUGAGUAACGCGUAGGUAACCUGCCUGGUAGCGGGGGAUAACUAUUGGAAACGAUAGCUAAUACCGCAUAAUAGUAGAUGUUGCAUGACAUUUGCUUAAAAGGUGCAAUUGCAUCACUACCAGAUGGACCUGCGUUGUAUUAGCUAGUUGGUGGGGUAACGGCUCACCAAGGCGACGAUACAUAGCCGACCUGAGAGGGGGAUCGGCCACACUGGGACUGAGACACGGCCCAGACUACUACGGGAGGCAGCAGUAGGGAAUCUUCGGCAAUGGACGGAAGUCUGACCGAGCAACGCCGCGUGAGUGAAGAAGGUUGUCGGAUCGUAAAGCUCUGUUGUAAGAGAAGAACGAGUGUGAGAGUGGAAAGUUCACACUGUGACGGUAUCUUACCAGAAAGGGACGGCUAACUACGUG
rnacentral:rRNA from 1 species